CCUACGGGAGGCAGCAGUGAGGAAUAUUGGUCAAUGGACGAGAGUCUGAACCAGCCAAGUAGCGUGAAGGAUGACUGCCCUAUGGGUUGUAAACUUCUUUUAUAAAGGAAUAAAACGAGGCACGUGUGCCUUUUUGCAUGUACUUUAUGAAUAAGGAUCGGCUAACUCCGUGCCAGCAGCCGCGGUAAUACGGAGGAUCCGAGCGUUAUCCGGAUUUAUUGGGUUUAAAGGGAGCGUAGAUGGGUUGUUAAGUCAGUUGUGAAAGUUUGCGGCUCAACCGUAAAAUUGCAAUUGAUACUGGCAGUCUUGAGUACAGUUGAGGUAGGCGGAAUUCGUGGUGUAGCGGUGAAAUGCUUAGAUAGCACGAAGAACCCCGAUUGCGAAGGCAGCUUACUAAACUGUGACUGACAUUGAUGCUCGAAAGCGUGGGUAGCAAACAGGAUUAGAUACCCCUGUAGUC
rnacentral:rRNA from 1 species